rnacentral:rRNA from 1 species
AGUCGUAACAAGGUUUCCGUAGGUGAACCUGCGGAAGGAUCUUCC